UAAGUGUGUCUCUCUGCGGCUCGUGGGACUAUACAUCCAUAAAACCGUGUGCCUGUUCUAAUGAUUAAUAAACAUGAAGGGGAGGGGAGAGAGAGUGCGUGUGCUUUUUCUAUAACUCACCAUCACUCUCCACUCUCUUUCUCUCUCCGGUUAAUUACAAACUCGUAUGGAUUUGUAUGAACGUGAGAUAUAUCGUUGGACCGUCACUGGCCAACAAAUAUAACACAACUUUCAACAACGGAUC
rnacentral:misc_RNA from 1 species